GCCCCGAUAGCUCAGAUGAACAGAGCAACGGACUUCUAAUCCGUGGGUCGCAGGUUUGAAUCCUGCUCGGGGUA
rnacentral:tRNA from 1 species